UACGUAGGGUGCGAGCGUUGUCCGGAAUUAUUGGGCGUAAAGGGCUCGUAGGCGGUUUGUCGCGUCGGGAGUGAAAUCCACUGGCUUAACUGGUGGCUUGCUUUCGAUACGGGCAGACUGGAGGUAUGCAGGGGAGAACGGAAUUCCUGGUGUAGCGGUGAAAUGCGCAGAUAUCAGGAGGAACACCGGUGGCGAAGGCGGGACUCUGGGCCGAUACUGACGCUGGAGGAGCGAAAGCGUGGGGAGCGAACAGG
rnacentral:rRNA from 1 species